CCUCUGAUAGCUCAGCUGGAAGAGCGCAAGACUGUAAAUCUUGAGGUCCCUGGUUCGAUCCCGGGUCAGAGGA
rnacentral:tRNA from 9 species